AGUGGACGCUGGCGGUAGGCCUAACACAUGCAAGUCGAACGGCAGCACAGUAAGAGCUUGCUCUUACGGGUGGCGAGUGGCGGACGGGUGAGGAAUACAUCGGAAUCUACUUUUUCGUGGGGGAUAACGUAGGGAAACUUACGCUAAUACCGCAUACGACCUACGGGUGAAAGCAGGGGAUCUUCGGACCUUGCGCGAUUGAAUGAGCCGAUGUCGGAUUAGCUAGUUGGCGGGGUAAAGGCCCACCAAGGCGACGAUCCGUAGCUGGUCUGAGAGGAUGAUCAGCCACACUGGAACUGAGACACGGUCCAGACUCCUACGGGAGGCAGCAGUGGGGAAUAUUGGACAAUGGGCGCAAGCCUGAUCCAGCCAUACCGCGUGAGUGAAGAAGGCCUUCGGGUUGUAAAGCCCUUUUGUUGGGAAAGAAAAGCAGCAGGUUAAUACCCCGCUGUUCUGACGGUACCCAAUGAAUAAGCACCGGCUAACUUCGUG
rnacentral:rRNA from 1 species